GCGGAUGGCCGGGCGGCCGCGGCGCGCGGCUGGACCGCGCGGCGAGGAAAGUCCGGGCUCCACGAAGACGCGGCGCCGGAUAACGUCCGGCCGGGGAAACCCGAGGGAAAGCGCCACAGAGAACAGACCUCCGUUCCGGGUUCGUCCCGGGGCGGGAAGGGUGAAACGGUGGAGUAAGAGCCCACCGCGCCCCCGGCGACGGGGGCGGCACGGCAAGCCCCGCCGGGAGCAAGGUCAAGUUGCGAGGGAGGCGGCCUUCGGGCCGCCGAUGGGUCGUCUUCGCCCUCCCUCCGUGGUGGACCGCGAGAACGCCCGGGCGACCGGGCGUCCAGAUGAAUGGCCGCCCAGGGGCCGCAAGGCCCUGGACAGAACCCGGCUUACAGGCCAUCCGCACGC
rnacentral:RNase_P_RNA from 1 species